CAUUGUAUAUCGAUCGGAUGUCCACACUAAGUUCAGCACCAAUUUGGUGACUCUGAGGGAGCUUGGAGCUACCAGGUUGGUCUAAGGAGGGGUGAACCGGCCCAGGUUGGGAACAGAGCAGGUCAAAUCCCCCGUGUUGAUCAGUAGUGGGACAGCACCUGUGAAUAGACAAUG